AUCAACUACUAUAAUAGUUGGUAAAAAGCAACAUUAACAUCCAUAAACAUAGCAUCAUAAUUCUAUUAAAUUACCCUAACAACUAACUCAUAACUAAAUAAACAUAAAAACUUAGUAAUAUAGUGCAUCAUAUCAUAUGAUAGUAUAAUACAUAAUUAAAACUACAUAUUUUACAUUAUUACUCCCUCCGGGUCCCUAUUUACAAGAGAAAUUUUAAUUUUUAGAUACAUUGAAUAAUGUACUAAUGUAUGUAUGUAUUUAGUCAACAACCUAAACCAAAUACAUAAAUUUUAUUUAAUGUAUCUAAAAAGUAAAUCGUCUCUUCUAAAAUAGGACUGGAUGGAGUAUUAUUUUUCAAACACACAAACACUUCAUAUCUAUAUCUAUAAUAUAAUCAUAAUUAGAACAAGUUCAACAACUCAUGAAUCUUCUUCUCAAACCAACCCUUUUCAUCAUGAUGACGACGAUCCUCCUCAUCGCGGCGAACAAAAUCGUUAUAAGUCAUCACCAUCGGCCUGUACAUGACCCCACCACCGUGAAUCCUCGCCAACCGUUUCUGGAUCCGACGAUCGGAGUUGCUGGCAUCUUUCGACAAGAUCAUGUCGUUACCAUAAGGGAUCUGACGGCGGUGACCGUGACGGCAACGGCGGUGAGAUAACGGAAAGUUUGACGGCAAUAUGCGUUGGUGUGGGUGGAUGUGACGGUUGAUUGGACGGAAAUUGAGGUAAGUUAACGGAACGUGGUCGAUGGAGUUGAGAUUGAACGAAACGGUGUCGUGUUGUUGGGUUUUUGAAGAACUAUGAAAGCGCGUGGUGGUUUCGGAAUUGGAUUCGGGUAAUGGGUUUUGAAGAUCGCGGGCGCGUGAGAGAGUGGUAGUAAAAAGGAAGAGUAAAACGGUGAUGGAAAUAGUAGUGACUCUGGUUGUGGCCAUGGUGUGUAGUUUUUUUGAGAGAAGUAAUGGACACAAAUUGUGGUGAUGAAAUGAAGUUUAGUUUUGUUAUAUAAAAGGAAAUUAGGAAAUGGACAAAGUAUAAUGUUAAAGUGGAGGACUAUUUGAGGAGAAGAAAUUUCUUGCUUUUUUUUAGAGGGGUGGAAAUUUCUUGCUUGUAUUAUACGAGAUCUUUGUACGACUUUACUUUAUUUAUUGUAGUGAUAUAGUGACAGGUUCAAUUUUUAAAUCAUACUUCCUCCGUCCCAAAUUGUAUGACGUUUUGGAUAUUUCAAACGUAUUAAGAAAU
rnacentral:lncRNA from 1 species